rnacentral:lncRNA from 1 species
GUGAGCCGAGUCUCUCAGCAUGAUUGGUGGAAAGGGAGAAUGAAAGCUGAGUAGGAACUCAGUAAUAUCCAUGACCACUGCACCCUAAAUUUGCCCUUUUUUUCUUCCUCUCAGUGAGGAUUAUGGGAAGAACUUUAAGGAUAUUACAAAUCUCAUCAAUAACACCUUUAUUCGGACUGAAUUUGGCAUGGCUAUUGGUCCUGAGAACUCUGGAAAGGUGGUAUUAACAGCAGAGGUGUCUGGAGGAAGUCGUGGAGGAAGAAUCUUCAGAUCAUCAGAUUUUGCGAAGAAUUUUGUGCAAACAGAUCUCCCUUUUCAUCCUCUCACUCAGAUGAUGUAUAGCCCUCAGAAUUCUGAUUAUCUUUUAGCUCUCAGC